GAAGUCAGUUAUUACUUAAUAUACACAUGCAAGUAUCCGCUCCCCUGUGAAAACGCCCUUAAACCCCUUUUAGGGACAAGGAGCUGGUAUCAGGCACGAAAAUCUGCCCAAAACACCUAGCUAUGCCACACCCACAAGGGAAUUCAGCAGUGAUUAACAUUGAGAAUUAGCGAAAGCUCGACUCAGUUAAAGUAAGAUAGAGCCGGCUAAUCUGGUGCCAGCCGCCGCGGUUACACCACGUGGCUCAAAUUGACCCCCUACGGCGUAAAGCGUGAUUAAAGUUUUCAUUUUCUAGAGUUAAACUAAAAUUAAGCUGUGACACGCCUGUUUUUAAGAAACCCAAAAACGAAAGUUACUCUAACACAAUCAACUUUAAG
rnacentral:rRNA from 1 species